rnacentral:lncRNA from 1 species
AAUUUAAUGGGUAGUGACGCGGGGCGUCACACUCUCCCUCACCUGAUUUGGCGAUGACCGCGGCGCCACAUAGCUGCAAAUAUUUGUGGACCUUCUCCUUGAAUGGCCACAAGUCUUCGUAUUUCUCCCACGAUGCCUCCUCGGGUGAUUGCCCCUUCCAAUGGACUAAGAAUUGGGCACUUGAAUUGCCCCAACCUUUCCCUCGGACCAAUUGAUGAUCAAUUAUGUCCUCGAUUUGNNNNN